AGCUCACGACCGGACUUGCACCGAUACUCUACUCCUUUGCAGGGAGUUGCUUUACUGUUAAGCUACAUGAGC
rnacentral:tRNA from 1 species